rnacentral:rRNA from 1 species
GAAUCUUGCGCAAUGGGCGAAAGCCUGACGCAGCGACGCCGCAUGGGUGAUGAAGGCCUUCGGGUUGUAAAGCCCUGUGGAGGGGGACGAAUAAGUGUUGGCUAAUAUCCAGCAUGAUGACGGUACCCCUUUAGCAAGCACCGGCUAACUCUGUGCCAGCAGCCGCGGUAAGACAGAGGGUGCAAACGUUGUUCGGAAUGACUGGGCGUAAAGCGCGUGUAGGCGGCCUCGCAAGUCGGGUGUGAAAGCCCUGGGCUCAACCCAGGAAGUGCACUCGAAACUGCAAGGCUUGAGUUCCGGAGAGGAAAGCGGAAUUCUCGGUGUAGAGGUGAAAUUCGUAGAUAUCGAGAGGAACACCGGUGGCGAAGGCGGCUUUCUGGACGGCGACUGACGCUGAGACGUGAAAGCGUGGGGAGCAAAC